rnacentral:lncRNA from 12 species
GUGCGCCCGGCAGGUCCGACGUGAGCACCAGGUGCGCCCGGCAGGUCCGACGUGAGCACCAGGUGUGCCCGGCAGGUCCGGGCCGGGCCGGGGGCGGUGCUGGAGAGGACGCCCCCGCACCCCUGAGAGAUCGCCUCUGCUGCGAGGGCUGAGGCACAAGCGGUCAGGACGGGGCCUUUCUUUCCCCCGAUUUUACAACGCCCAUCUCCUCUUUUCCCUACACUACAGUAAGGGGGGAAAAUUAACUAAGGGCUUACUUUUUAAUUAAAUGCAGUACCACUUAGGAAGAUGUAUGCUAAUCUGAGGCCAGAUCUGCCGCCCUCAGCUGCACAAGACGCUGGCCCCAGCAGAGGCUGUAAAGCUCUCGAUAAGAGAGGCCGGGAGCAAGGUGCAGGUCCCCCAGCGAUAACCUCCUGACUCCGAUAUUAUAGGUCUCUCGGCUGGAAUUGAGUUCUACAUCUUACUCGAUGGGCUGUUGUCACAGAUGAGUAAUGAACGCACCCUGCCCGCGUCCCAGGGUGCAGGACGCGGCCGGCCAGGCCACCCGGAGGCCCAGCUGCGGGCGGCGGGGCGGGCGGCGCGGCCAAGGCGGUUAAAGGCGCAGCCACCGCGGCGAGAGCGCGCGCCCUGCGGGGGGCGGGGGUGUCCUGGGGGCCCGGCCCGGAGCCGGUGCAUUAAUCACGCGGCUCCCCCGGCUAAGGGGCAGAGCCCGGGGAGCAGCCCCGACCCCGGAACAAAGGCAGAACGUGAUGAAGGGCGCACCUCUGCCAAUGCGGGCUUUGCAGAGGGGCUGGGAAAUGAAUGGCCCUUACCUCCGCGGCCAGUUCUAAAAUUCUGCAUAUCUAAACAGGCUCCCCUCAUCACCCAGCCCAGAAAACUGGACUGACUGAGGUGGUGGCCUCCUAAAAGCUCAGAUUAUGGCUCUAGUAGAGAACAAAACUGACCUACCAUGACUGGACAUGUAAACUUCCAUUGUACCAGUCUCCAUGCCUACAGUAAUUACUGUUAUUAAAGUCAGAGUUAGAGAUUGGAACACCUUGACAUGAAGAGAUAAAAGGCUCAUAUUAUAGAAAAUUUCCUCAGACCAGAAUUUAAGAGGUAAGAGGUAUGAGGUUCUAUGUAAGAGGUAAGAGGUUCUGCUCUCUUACCAUAGUCCAACUUUCCCUCAUCCCUUUCUAUCACUGCUACAACUAGUGGCUCCAGAUGAACUUGGAAUACAUACCCACACCUGUUAUUAAAGAGGAGAUUGGGGAAUCCCUGGGUGGCUCAGUGGUUUAGCGCCUGCCUUCUGCCCAGGACGUGAUCCUGGAGUCGCGGGAUCGAGUCCCACAUCAGGCUCUCUGUAUGGAGCCUGCUUCUCCCUCUGCUUGUGUCUGCCUCUCUUUCUCUCUGUAUCUCUCAUGAAUAAAUAAAACCUUUAAAAAAAUAAAUAAAGAGGA